UGGAUGAACGCUAGCUACAGGCUUAACACAUGCAAGUCGAGGGGCAGCAUGGUCUUAGCUUGCUAAGGCUGAUGGCGACCGGCGCACGGGUGAGUAACACGUAUCCAACCUGCCCUUUACUCGGGGAUAGCCUUUCGAAAGAAAGAUUAAUACCCGAUAGCAUAAUGAUUCCGCAUGGUUUCAUUAUUAAAGGAUUCCGGUAAAGGAUGGGGAUGCGUUCCAUUAGGUUGUUGGUGGGGUAACGGCCCACCAAGCCUUCGAUGGAUAGGGGUUCUGAGAGGAAGGUCCCCCACAUUGGAACUGAGACACGGUCCAAACUCCUACGGGAGGCAGCAGUGAGGAAUAUUGGUCAAUGGGCGCUAGCCUGAACCAGCCAAGUAGCGUGAAGGAUGAAGGCUCUAUGGGUCGUAAACUUCUUUUAUAUAAGAAUAAAGUGCAGUAUGUAUACUGUUUUGUAUGUAUUAUAUGAAUAAGGAUCGGCUAACUCCGUGCCAGCAGCCGCGGUAAUACGGAGGAUCCGAGCGUUAUCCGGAUUUAUUGGGUUUAAAGGGAGCGUAGGUGGACUGGUAAGUCAGUUGUGAAAGUUUGCGGCUCAACCGUAAAAUUGCAGUUGAUACUGUCAGUCUUGAGUACAGUAGAGGUGGGCGGAAUUCGUGGUGUAGCGGUGAAAUGCUUAGAUGUCACGAAGAACUCCGAUUGCGAAGGCAGCUCACUGGACUGCAACUGACACUGAUGCUCGAAAGUGUGGGUAUCAAACAGGAUUAGAUACCCUGGUAGUCCACACAGUAAACGAUGAAUACUCGCUGUUUGCGAUAUACAGUAAGCGGCCAAGCGAAAGCAUUAAGUAUUCCACCUGGGGAGUACGCCGGCAACGGUGAAACUCAAAGGAAUUGACGGGGGCCCGCACAAGCGGAGGAACAUGUGGUUUAAUUCGAUGAUACGCGAGGAACCUUACCCGGGCUUAAAUUGCAGUGGAAUGAUGUGGAAACAUGUCAGUGAGCAAUCACCGCUGUGAAGGUGCUGCAUGGUUGUCGUCAGCUCGUGCCGUGAGGUGUCGGCUUAAGUGCCAUAACGAGCGCAACCCUUAUCUUUAGUUACUAACAGGUCAUGCUGAGGACUCUAGAGAGACUGCCGUCGUAAGAUGUGAGGAAGGUGGGGAUGACGUCAAAUCAGCACGGCCCUUACGUCCGGGGCUACACACGUGUUACAAUGGGGGGUACAGAAGGCAGCUAGCGGGUGACCGUAUGCUAAUCCCAAAAUCCUCUCUCAGUUCGGAUCGAAGUCUGCAACCCGACUUCGUGAAGCUGGAUUCGCUAGUAAUCGCGCAUCAGCCACGGCGCGGUGAAUACGUUCCCGGGCCUUGUACACACCGCCCGUCAAGCCAUGGGAGCCGGGGGUACCUGAAGUGCGUAACCGCGAGGAUCGCCCUAGGGUAAAAC
rnacentral:rRNA from 1 species